rnacentral:rRNA from 1 species
AUUGAACGCUGGCGGCAGGCCUAACACAUGCAAGUCGCACGAGUGGCGGACGGGUGCGUAAUGUCUGGGAACCUGACUGAUGUAGGGGGAUAACUACUGGAAACGUUAACUAAUACCGCAUACCAUCAUAUGUGCCCAGAUGGGAUUAUCUAGUUGGUGGGGUAACGGCUCACCAAGGCGACGAUCCCUAGCUGGUCUGAGAGGAUGACCAGCCACACUGGAACUGAGACACGGUCCAGACUCCUACGGGAGGAAGAAGUGGGGAAUAUUGCACAAUGGGCGCAAGCCUGAUGCAGCCAUGCCGCGUGUAUGAAGAAGGCCUUCGGGUUGUAAAGUACUUGCAGCGGGGAGGCGUUACCCGCAGAAGAAGCACCGGCUAACUCCGUGCCAGCAGCCGCGGUAAUUC